rnacentral:rRNA from 1 species
GACGAACGCUGGCGGCGUGCUUAACACAUGCAAGUCGAACGGAAAGGCCCUGCUUUUGUGGGGUGCUCGAGUGGCGAACGGGUGAGUAACACGUGAGUAACCUGCCCUUGACUUUGGGAUAACUUCAGGAAACUGGGGCUAAUACCGGAUAGGAGCUCCUGCUGCAUGGUGGGGGUUGGAAAGUUUCGGCGGUUGGGGAUGGACUCGCGGCUUAUCAGCUUGUUGGUGGGGUAGUGGCUUACCAAGGCUUUGACGGGUAGCCGGCCUGAGAGGGUGACCGGCCACAUUGGGACUGAGAUACGGCCCAGACUCCUACGGGAGGCAGCAGUGGGGAGUAUUGCGCAAUGGGCGGAAGCCUGAUGCAGCAACGCCGCGUGCGGGAUGACGGCCUUCGGGUUGUAAACCGCUUUCGCCUGUGACGAAGCGUGAGUGACGGUAAUGGGUAAAGAAGCACCGGCUAACUACGUG